UUCUUCAGAAAUUCUCCUUUUGUGUUUCACAGAAGAAACAAUCGGGUUUGGAAUGACAUGAGGAUGAGUAAAUGAGACAGAAUAUUAAUUUUUGGGUGACCUAUUCGUGAACAAGUAGAACCAGGUCUGCAAAUCUGAAAUGAACUUGUAAUGGAGGCCAAAUCCAGCGUUUCCUCAGAGGCUGGAGUGUGUGACAGCAGCUACAGAGGACACGCUGUGAAACUCAGGCGAUGACAGGCACAGAUCACCUCUAAAAAUACCCUUCACUCAGGAAACGGCACAUCACAAACGCGUACACCAUCAGGGAACAUCCGUGGCCCAAUUUGACACCAUCUCUGUUUACCGUUCACCACCACAUCCUGGAGUCCUGUAAAAUGCAAGUUGUAAACAUUUAGGUCUUUUUUGUUUUACAUGUCGCUGUUUGUUGAAACGUGAUUUGACUAAACCUGCUCGUCUGAGUUUGUGACACUCGCACGUGCGGGAUGGUGCCAGUUUGCCAGAGGCAUAUUCUGAGUGUGGCAGCUAUCAGAAACCCACAGUUUUUCUUGAUGUUAGCUGUUGGGACGGCUUUGAUAGAGGAAGGGUGGGCUGUCACUGGGAGUUUGGAGUGUGUUCGGUGACGAGGAACAUAACAAAGUUAUUUCUAUAGACAGGACAGUGAAGAGAAUGCCUGAGGAGCGAACACGCAUGCACACACACGCACAAGCAGAGAGUCGCCGAGUGCUGCGGGGACUGAUGUCCCCAGACGCUCCACAUGGACACAGUAAGGAAGAGGUCAUGGCUAUAUUCAGCAAGGUCAUCAAAGAGCCUGGAGUCUCUUUCUCUCAAACUGGCUCUCAGUCAGCGCUCAUCAUCAUCAUCAUCAUGCUGUUUGGUUCAGGUCACCUGUCCUUGACCCCUCUGCUUUGUGCGCUCUGCUUUCUGGAAGUUUCUGUGAUUUGCUGUGCAGUGCGGUUCAUCGAAUCCCUCAGAGGGCCUUUCACCUGUCUCCUAACAGCUCCCAGAAUGCAACGCUGCACAGGACAACACACGCCUGGCAAUUAGAGGGAACUGGAGUGCUCUUCUGAGAGCCGAAAUAAUUGGAUGUUAGAGCGUGUACGUGUGGACUCCGAACUGCCUGACUUGAUUUACUUUUCUCAUAGUAAUUACUGUGGUUGAAUAAAAUAGAGCAAUUUUGGCA
ensembl:lncRNA